GCAUUGUUAGCUUUUAUUUCGUAAUUUCAUUUCGUAUGAAAUAAUCAUAGAUAAUAUUUUUUUUUCUUGCUAUACUCUGUAUACUCUGUAAAUGUUUCCUUGAUGACAUGAAUGCUCCCAUUGAGCGUCCCUCACCUCAAAAUCGUCAUGAGUCCACAAUAUAAAUUGUUUCUUGGUCAAUUGUUGCAUCAUAAAUUGCUAUAACG
rnacentral:lncRNA from 1 species